rnacentral:rRNA from 1 species
GAACCUUACCAGGGUUUGACAUCCUCUGUAAGACGCAGAAAUGCGUUCCCCAUGGCAACAUGGCAGAGAGACAGGUGCUGCAUGGCUGUCGUCAGCUCGUGUCGUGAGAUGUUGGGUUAAGUCCCGCAACGAGCGCAACCCUCGUCGAGUGUUGCCAGCAUUCAGUUGGGCACUCACUCGAGACCGCCGUUGAUAAGACGGAGGAAGGUGGGGAUGACGUCAAGUCCGCAUGGCCCUUACAUCCUGGGCUACACACGUGUACAAUGGCCGGUACACGAGCAGCAAGACCGCGAGGUCAAGCUAAUCUCCUAAAGCCGGUCUCAGUUCGGAUCGAAGGCUGCAACUCGCCUUCGUGAAGUCGGAAUCGCUAGUAACCGCAGAUCAGCUACGCUGCGGUGAAUACGUUCCCGGGCCUUGUACACACCGCCCGUCACGUCACCCGAGUUUAGUGCACCCGAAGCCGCCUCAUCCAACCGUAAGGGGGAGGGCGUCUAAGGUGUGCUAGGUAAGGGGGACGAAGUCGUAACAAGGUAGC